UUUAUUUACUUAUGCAUUUAUUUUAUUUUUGGUUCUGCUCUUUUUUAAAAGAAGUGGGAGGCGAAAGGAGAGACCCACUUCUGUGUCUGCCCAGGGUAGAACGCGGGCAGCAAAGCCGGAGACAAGAGCCGGUGGAGCGGCAGCUGCGGGGCCGCGCGUCCCGCCACCUCCCACGCCCGCUUCCUUCCCGGGCACCUGCGGCCCACCGCUGACGUCACAGGGGCUAAACACGGAAGGACGUUCCCGCACGAGGAGCUCUGAAAGCAGAUUGCAGGCCACAGUGGCAGAGCGCACGGGAGCCAGCAGGCCUGGCCCGGGCUCAUGGCAGCACGGAGUAUGCUUUUCCUGACCACUUGUGAAGGUCCACCUCUCCUCGAAGGACGAUCGUGUGUGACGUCAGGCAUUGCGGUGUCACAAUCACAGCUCCUAGACCACGUGCAGUGGUGCGAGCAGAUUCACCCCUAGGCGAGCAGCCCUGCACGGACGGCGAACGGCGGCGUGGCACUAGAAGUGUCCAGACUUCAGAUCUCAGCCCAGCCAGCGACCUGUUUUCUAAGAUGCCAACUGCUGUUUCUGUGACCCAGCGACUCCUGCUGCCUCCAGCUGCCUCCAGGAUGCAGGCCGGGACUCCUGGCCACGGAGUACGCGCUUGGAUCGCACACCUGUGUCCACUGGGCACCUCCACAUGGCCCAAGCUGUCCAGCAACCCAACCCACCCAAAAUGUAGAACUUGCUUUUAAUUUUAUGUGACUAUCAAUAAUUUAAAUAGCACCGUGUGGCGUGUGCUGCAGGUUUAAGAGACUAUAAUAUAAAAUCUCUUCCAGCCUGCAAACCUUAUGAUUCUAGAUAUACAAAAAAGGCUCACAAAACUCUACUCAAGCACUAUUUUCAAAAAUUUCCUUUUAAGUACCUAGUAUGUGGCUUCAUCAAUGAACAAAACACACGGACAUCUUUGUCCUUGCGGCUGACAGUCUUGUAGGGAGAGAAAGAUAAUGAAAAUAAAUAUAGUAAGCAAAGCAGAAAAUUACUGGAAGGUAAUAAUAUUAUGGAAACACAGAGUAGAUUACGAAAACCACAAAGAAUGCUGGUGUGAGAAUGAAUUGGUGGUCUUUCCGCAUGGGCUGAGCGGAGGCCAGCACAAGCAGCUGGGGUUGAGCAAGGCCUGAAAGCAGCUGGGAGCCAGGCACAGAAGCGAAGCGCCAGGGUGAAGAUCCAGACGGAGGCCUGAGUGAGUGGAAGCGGAGCCCAGGGAGCCUGGUUCUGGGUGAGCAAGGGUGGAAGUCAUGGACAAUGCAGCCACAACACGGGAGAGAAGGACGUGGGGCCUAUCACAUCCAGCCACCGAGAGAGCUGACACUCCGCAGAGCCGUUAUAAAGAAGAAAUCGCCAGUUUUCCAUGAUCCUCUGCCUUCACUGGAGAUCACCCUACAAGCACCAGGGCCGGGGUGAGGCUUCAUUGCUGGAGAUCCUUGACAAAUGACACAGGUUUGGUUCAGAGUGGCAGCAACACCAACAGUGAGAAACGGCUCAAUUCUGGGUAUAUCUUACAGGUGGAGUUCAGAGUAGAUCAUGAAAUACAGGAAUGUGGGGUAGGUGAACAGAAAAAGUCAGCAUCAGUUCCUAAGUUUUGAGGUAAAGCCACUAGGAAAAUGGAGUGCUCAUCCCCUGGAGGGGUGAAAACCAUGGGAAGAACAAGUUUGAAAGGAAACCGAAAGCUGAGCGCUUUCCAACUGUCAAACUUGCAGUUUCUAUUCCACAUCAAGGAGAUGGAUGUCUGGGACUGACUGAAACAGCCUGAGCUGGAGAAAUAAAUUAGGAAAUCUAUGACAUACGAGAAUACCUUCCAUAAAUUGCAUAAGAUCACAGGAGCUUACAGAGUGAAAAGAGGGCAAGGACUAAAGAAAGAGUUCGAACAAAAGUUAAGAAGUAACUCGGAAGGGUGAAUUGAUGAAGAAUAAUUCAAAAAUAUCCCAUGUGGAAGGAAGAAAAGCAGGAGACUAUGGUAUCCUUGAAGUCACAUGACAAAGUAUUUCAAGGAAGAGAGCAUGAUCAAUUUCGUCAAAUACCUGAAAAAUGAAGUGGUAUAAGAAUAAGAAAACGACCACGGGAGUAAUAAGAAGGUCAGGGGUGAUCUUUACAAACAUGGCGACAGUGGAAGCGCUGACAGAAGGCUGGACUCAAGCAGGUUCCAGUGACAAGAGAAAGAAAAGGACCGACAGCUCUGCUCUCCCACCACGCGGACAGCAGGGUAGAGGCGGCUGCCGGCAGCUGCGGGGGCAGAAACCAUGGCAAGAGCUGCGGUCGGUCUUUCCUUUUUAAAGAAGAGAGUAGGGACAGCUAGUUUGAACGCAGAUGGAAGGAUUCAAUAAGGCGAAAAACCAGUGACACAGGGCGGAGACUGUUAACACGGGUGGCCACAGGACUGCUUGUCCCGUGUAGUUACCCAGUGGCCGAGGAGUGAUUUCCAAGCGGUGGAAAAGGAAAAGCAAGAGUGUUUCAAGACACAGCAAAGUCCCAUCCAACUGCAGCUCCAGAGGCCGCACAUAGAGCUUUCCUGGGACACAGCUGUGCUCUACCUUUACGCCCAUCGGCAGCCGCUUCUGUGCCUCCACGGUCCCAAGGCUGCGCUGCACUGGAGGUCACAGUGGCGUCCCGAGUGUUUCCUGCCUCCUCUAAGCUCUGCAGAAUCACUGGACAGGCACAACUGGACAGCACUUCCGAGCCACGCACACCGCCUGACUGUGACAGUGUGCUUUUUCAUCAGUAUGUGUCAUAAAAA